UAAUAGAUACCCCGGUAGUCCACGCCGUAAACGAUGAGUGCUAAGUGUUAGAGGGUUUCCGCCCUUUAGUGCUGAAGUUAACGCAUUAAGCACUCCGCCUGGGGAGUACGGUCGCAAGACUGAAACUCAAAGGAAUUGACGGGGGCCCGCACAAGCGGUGGAGCAUGUGGUUUAAUUCGAAGCAACGCGAAGAACCUUACCAGGUCUUGACAUCCUCUGACAACCCUAGAGAUAGGGCUUCCCCUUCGGGGACAGAGUGACAGGUGGUGCAUGGUUGUCGUCAGCUCGUGUCGUGAGAUGUUGGGUUAAGUCCCGCAACGAGCGCAACCCUUGAUCUUAGUUGCCAGCAUUUAGUUGGGCACUCUAAGGUGACUGCCGGUGACAAACCGGAGGAAGGUGGGGAUGACGUCAAAUCAUCAUGCCCCUUAUGACCUGGGCUACACACGUGCUACAAUGGACGGUACAAAGAGUCGCAAGACCGCGAGGUGGAGCUAAUCUCAUAAAACCGUUCUCAGUUCGGAUUGUAGGCUGCAACUCGCCUA
rnacentral:rRNA from 1 species